AAAACCAAGAUUUCUUGCCAUCAGCAUCACACCUCUCGGAACGACAUCCAAAGAUUUUCCUUUGAGUUUUGCAGUUUUUGCAAGUCAAUUCUAUUCCAAAAUGAAACUUUUCUCUUACAUCGCUGCUGCAGCCACAGCUGUCUUGCUUCUCUUGGCACCAGCUAAUGCUCAGUCUAGCACACCAGCACCAGGUAAAACUACUUUCAUUAUGCUAUUAAAAUUUACUGAAUAUUUCGACAUUAUUUAACAAACAUUUAAAUCAUUUACAAAUAAUCUCUUACUAAACAACAACAAAAAUGAUUACUUAAUUAAUUAAUCGUAGGUAGCAUUUACUUAAGAUGCUGAAAUUUCAAAUAAGUUAUGUGAUUUAAAUGAUGUAAUCUAAUAAAUAAUGUAAAUACUUAAAUAAAUGUCAGACAUGUAGUAUUUUUUGAAGCUUAAUUUUGACACAUUUAUUUAUUUAACAUAUUUAUUAAGAUAUAAUAAAUUAUUUUUUAGCUUUUAAAUGUUGUUUUAAUUAGAAAUUUACUAGAAUAAUUAUAUAAAUGUAAUUAUUGGAAUUAAUAAAUAAAUUUCUCACUUUUUUGUAAUGAUUUAAUGGUUUCCCUAAUAAUGAAUCAUAACUUGAUAUCCCUUGUUACUCCAUGUUGUUUAGUGGGACUGAGAUACUUGAAAGGUUUAUAAAUAUAUUAUUAAAUGAAUAGUUUAAAAAUAUUGUGCAUUAUGUUUAAUAAUUAUCUAAUAUGCUUUCAAUUUUUAUUUCGAAAUCUCUAACGAUAUAUUUUUUUUUUUCUUCUUCUGCUUUCGGCUCCUUCAGACUCAACUGCUGCUACAACACCCUCUGCAUGUAAGUAUUUUGAACCAUUUUCACCAAAUCUUUAUUCUUCCAUUUGAUUUUUAUUCCUCUUCAGUUUGAUUGAAAACUUAUCAAAUAGUUCUUCCAUCGAAGAUGAGAAGAUACAACAGUUAAAAACUCUUUAAAAUAUAACAUGACAUGAGAUAUCUCUCAUAUUUAUAUAUAUAUUUCUAAAUUAUAUAAUUUUCAUAUUAUGUAUACAAGAAUUAAAUAGGACAAUGAUUUUUUUAUAAACAGUCAAACAAAAAUGUUUCCUUUAAAUCUCUAGAAAUUUAUAAGACUCAUGGAAUAUUCGAUAAGUUAUUUUUUAGCACAUGCAAAUAAAAAGCUUGAUACUAUUAAGAGAAUCAUCAUACAAAUAAAAUUAAUUAUAUGUAUAUAUAAAAUUUUAUAAAUAAUAGGGGACAUAAAAAUGACUAAAGUGAAAAUAGUUGAUAUUUUUUCCAAAAUUUUGAAGGAAAAAAAUAUUUCAUGAAUGCUUGAUAAGCAUUUAUGAUGGAUCAGUAAUUACUCAGAAGGUUCAGGAAAGUUACAGCAUCGUGAAAUGUUCAAAUUGUUUUCAAACUGAUUUAUUACUAUUAUCUUUACAAAAACAAGCAGUAAGAAAUGAAAUAAGUCAUGAAGCAAUAGUUGAAAUUCUUCUACACAACUAAAUUUUAAAAUCCAUUCUAGUCACCAAUUUCUAAAAAAAAAAAAAAAAAAAAAAAAAAAAAUAUCUACAAAUUAUUCUAAAUCCAAAAAAUUACACCCAAUUAUCUACUUAAUUCUUUUAAUUAUGUUCAAGGAUAAAUUGAAGUGAUAAAAUAAAUUAUCUUAAUUUUUAAAAAAUUUAUUAAGAUAUUUAGAUCCAAAUAAAUUGUUAACUCCCAACAGCAAUAAUCAUUGAGAUAAUUGUUUCAGAAAUGAAGUUUUGUUAUGGAAUGAUGCAGUCUUCUGUGGGAAUGUGGUGUGUCUCAUAGCUGAAAUGGAACUAGAUCUGGUGGCGUUGAUUCUUACCAAACAAAGAUACUUUGUGCGGUUGUGGGAAAGAAUGAUUUGAAUUACUUCUGGAUAACCAAAUUUCUGUAUUUUCUGUACAAUAAAAUCUUUUCUUCUUAAAUUAUAA